rnacentral:rRNA from 1 species
GACGAACGCUGGCGGCGUGCCUAAUACAUGCAAGUCGAGCGAAGUUUUUCUGGUGCUUGCACCGGAAAAACUUAGCGGCGAACGGGUGAGUAACACGUAAAGAACCUGCCUCAUAGACUGGGACAACUAUUGGAAACGAUAGCUAAUACCGGAUAAUAGCAUUAACUGCAUGGUUGAUGUUUAAAAGUUGGUUUUGCUAACACUAUGAGAUGGCUUUGCGGUGCAUUAGCUAGUUGGUGGGGUAAAGGCCUACCAAGGCGACGAUGCAUAGCCGACCUGAGAGGGUGAUCGGCCACACUGGGACUGAGACACGGCCCAGACUCCUACGGGAGGCAGCAGUAGGGAAUCUUCCGCAAUGGGCGAAAGCCUGACGGAGCAACGCCGCGUGAGUGAAGAAGGAUUUCGGUUCGUAAAGCUCUGUUGUUAGGGAAGAAUGAUUGUGUAGUAACUAUACACAGUAGAGACGGUACCUAACCAGAAAGCCACGGCUAACUACGUG